GACGAACGCUGGCGGCAUGCCUAACACAUGCAAGUCGAACGAGACCUUCGGGUCUAGUGGCGCACGGGUGCGUAACGCGUGGGAAUCUGCCUUCUGGUACGGAAUAACUCAGGGAAACUUGAGCUAAUACCGUAUAAUGACUCCGGUCCAAAGAUUUAUCGCCUGAGGAUGAGCCCGCGUAGGAUUAGCUAGUUGGUGAGGUAAAAGCUCACCAAGGCGACGAUCCUUAGCUGGUCUGAGAGGAUGAUCAGCCACACUGGGACUGAGACACGGCCCAGACUCCUACGGGAGGCAGCAGUGGGGAAUAUUGGACAAUGGGCGCAAGCCUGAUCCAGCAAUGCCGCGUGAGUGAUGAAGGCCUUAGGGUUGUAAAGCUCUUUUACCCGGGAUGAUAAUGACAGUACCGGGAGAAUAAGCCCCGGCUAACUCCGUGCCAGCCGCCGCCGUAAAAC
rnacentral:rRNA from 1 species